GAUGAACGCUAGCGGCAGGCCUAAUACAUGCAAGUCGGACGGGAUUCGGGAGCUUGCUCUUGAUGAGAGUGGCGCACGGGUGCGUAACACGUAUGCAACCUACCUUUACCAGGGGGAUAGCCUCUCGAAAGAGAGAUUAACACCGCAUAAAAUUAGUUUAUGGCAUCAUAAAUUGAUCAAAUAUUUAUAGGGUAAAGAUGGGCAUGCGGAACAUUAGCUAGUUGGUAAGGUAACGGCUUACCAAGGCGACGAUGUUUAGGGGAUCUGAGAGGAUGACCCCCCACACUGGUACUGAGACACGGACCAGACUCCUACGGGAGGCAGCAGUAAGGAAUAUUGGUCAAUGGGCGCAAGCCUGAACCAGCCAUGCCGCGUGCAGGAAGACGGCCCUACGGGUUGUAAACUGCUUUUGUACGGGAAUAAACCCUGAUACGUGUAUCAGGCUGAAUGUACCGUAAGAAUAAGGAUCGGCUAACUCCGUGCCAGCAGCCGCAGUAA
rnacentral:rRNA from 1 species